UGACUUAGCAGCAGCAGCAUACUAAAAUUGAAACGAUAGAGAUUAGUAUGGCCCCUGCGCAAGGAUGACACGCAAAUUCCUGAAGCGUUCCAUAUUUUG
rnacentral:snRNA from 1 species